rnacentral:rRNA from 1 species
GACGAACGCUGGCGGCGUGCCUAAUACAUGCAAGUAGAACGCACAGUUUAUACCGUAGCUUGCUACACCAUAAACUGUGAGUUGCGAACGGGUGAGUAACGCGUAGGUAACCUGCCUGGUAGCGGGGGAUAACUAUUGGAAACGAUAGCUAAUACCGCAUAAUAUUAAUUAUUGCAUGAUAAUUGAUUGAAAGAUGCAAUUGCAUCACUACCAGAUGGACCUGCGUUGUAUUAGCUAGUAGGUGAGGUAACGGCUCACCUAGGCGACGAUACAUAGCCGACCUGAGAGGGUGAUCGGCCACACUGGGACUGAGACACGGCCCAGACUCCUACGGGAGGCAGCAGUAGGGAAUCUUCGGCAAGGGACGAAAGUCUGACCGAGCAACGCCGCGUGAGUGAAGAAGGUUUUCGGAUCGUAAAGCUCUGUUGUAAGAGAAGAACGGGUGUGAGAGUGGAAAGUUCACACUGUGACGGUAUCUUACCAGAAAGGGACGGCUAACUACGUG